rnacentral:rRNA from 1 species
GUUUGACCUCAAAUCAGGUAGGAUUACCCGCUGAAC